GUCUACAGGGUCAGGUAGGUACCGGUCCAGCAGGAGGAUUUGGCACGGGGACAUGGCCAGUUGGUGGUUAUGGUCCAGGGACUGUAGGAGGCCAUGGGUCUGGGUUUACAGGAGCAGGACUUCCUGGUAGUGCUGUCGGAGCAGGAAGCAGAGGAGGGCUUGGGCCUGGGUAUGGAACAGGUGCUGGAGGAUAUGGACCUGGAUCGAAAGCAGCUAAAUAUGGUUUACCUGGAUCUGGCGGUGUCUUGGGAGCAGGAGGUGUACCAGGAGCUGGAACAGUUCUGCCUGGAGGGUUUGGGACCGGUGUUAGAUAUGGAGGUAAAAUUUUAAAAACUUUCAUUAGAUGUGAAAUACUAAUUACUAAAAUUGGAAGUAUGUCAUCUAAGCAU
rnacentral:lncRNA from 1 species